rnacentral:rRNA from 1 species
UACGGGGGGAGCAAGCGUUGUUCGGAUUUACUGGGCGUAAAGGGCGCGUAGGCGGUCGUGACAAGUCACUUGUGAAAUCUCCGGGCUUAACUCGGAACGGUCAAGUGAUACUGUCGGACUAGAGUACAGAAGGGGCAACUGGAAUUCUCGGUGUAGAGGUGAAAUUCGUAGAUAUCGGGAGGAACACCGGUGGCGAAGGCGGCGACCUGGGUUGACAUUGACGCUGAGGCGCGAAAGCGUGGGGAGCAAACAGG